rnacentral:tRNA from 1 species
GGGGAUAUAGCUCAGUUGAUACAGUGUUUGCCUGCUUGCACAAGGCCCUGGGUUCGAUCCCCAGCACCACCA